CGUUUAAACACCGGUUACCGUACGAUAAAGGAAGUUAAGCAACGUCGAGCCUGGUCAGUAGCUAGAUGGGUGACCGCUUGAGAAUAUCAAGUACU